rnacentral:rRNA from 1 species
UACGUAGGGUGCAAGCGUUAAUCGGAAUUACUGGGCGUAAAGCGUGCGCAGGCGGUUUUGUAAGUCUGACGUGAAAGCCCAGGGCUCAACCUGGGAAUUGCGAUGGAGACUGCAAGGCUUGAAUCUGGCAGAGGGGGGUAGAAUUCCACGUGUAGCAGUGAAAUGCGUAGAGAUGUGGAGGAACACCGAUGGCGAAGGCAGCCCCCUGGGUCAAGAUUGACGCUCAUGCACGAAAGCGUGGGGAGCAAACAGG